rnacentral:sRNA from 1 species
CAAAAAGGGACAAGUUUGGGCAUUGUAUC